rnacentral:rRNA from 1 species
AUUGAACGCUGGCGGCAUGCCUUACACAUGCAAGUCGAACGGCAGCACGGGGCAACCUGGUGGCGAGUGGCGAACGGGUGAGUAAUGCAUCGGAACGUACCUUUCAGUGGGGGAUAACGUAGCGAAAGUUACGCUAAUACCGCAUAUUCUGUGAGCAGGAAAGCAGGGGAUCGCAAGACCUUGCGCUGGUUGAGCGGCCGAUGUCAGAUUAGCUAGUUGGUGAGGUAAAGGCUCACCAAGGCGACGAUCUGUAGCGGGUCUGAGAGGAUGAUCCGCCACACUGGAACUGAGACACGGUCCAGACUCCUACGGGAGGCAGCAGUGGGGAAUUUUGGACAAUGGGCGGAAGCCUGAUCCAGCCAUGCCGCGUGUGUGAAGAAGGCCUUUUGGUUGUAAAGCACUUUAAGCGAGGAGGAGGCUACCUAGAUUAAUACUCUGGGAUAGUGGACGUUACUCGCAGAAUAAGCACCGGCUAACUCCGUGCCAGCCGCCGCCGUAAGAC